rnacentral:rRNA from 1 species
CCUACGGGAGGCAGCAGUGAGGAAUAUUGGUCAAUGGACGAGAGUCUGAACCAGCCAAGUAGCGUGAAGGAUGACUGCCCUAUGGGUUGUAAACUUCUUUUAUAUGGGAAUAAAAUGUUCCACGUGUGGGAUUUUGUAUGUACCAUAUGAAUAAGGAUCGGCUAACUCCGUUCCAGCAGCCGCGGUAAUACGGAGGAUCCGAGCGUUAUCCGGAUUUAUUGGGUUUAAAGGGAGCGUAGGUGGAUUGUUAAGUCAGUUGUGAAAGUUUGCGGCUCAACCGUAAAAUUGCAGUUGAAACUGGCAGUCUGGAGUACAGUAGAGGUGGGCGGAAUUCGUGGUGUAGCGGUGAAAUGCUUAGAUAUCACGAAGAACUCCGAUUGCGAAGGCAGCUCACUGGACUGCAACUGACACUGAGGCUCGAAAGUGUGGGUAUCAAACAGGAUUAGAUACCCCAGUAGUC